rnacentral:rRNA from 1 species
GACGAACGCUGGCGGCGUGCUUAACACAUGCAAGUCGAACGGAGUGGCGAACGGGUGAGUAACACGUGGGUGAUCUGCCUUGCACUCUGGGAUAAGCUUGGGAAACUGGGUCUAAUACCGGAUAGUGCAAGAUGAGCUCGCGGCCUCUCAGCUUUGUGGUGGGGUACUGGCCUACCAAGGCGUCGCCGGGUAGCCGGCCUGAGAGGGUGUACGGCCACAUUGGGAGUGAGAGACGGCGCAGACUCCUACGGGAGGAAGCAGUGGGGAAUAUUGCACAAUGGGCGGAAGCCUGAUGCAGCGACGCCGCGUGGGGGAUGACGGCCUUCGGGUUGUAAACUCCUUUCGACAGGGACGCGGUACCUGGAUAAGAAGCACCGGCUAACUACGGGCCAGCCGCCGCGGUAAUAC